CAAUGCAUUGUUCAAGUCCCGACCACAGGCCAUCAUUACAUGUCGCUUCACCCCACCAGCCUUUAGUCACAAGCUUAUAACCUUCCUCACAGGUGUAGUACAGUGUCUCAUUGUAUGGACCAACUAUAAAUCCAUGUGGAACUUUGGGUUUUGGACAUGCUGUACAACUCUGAAUCCCAGUCCAAUUACCUUGGCUACAGACAACAGUAAAACGUCUUUUACUGUUGUUCCUGCAUGCAAAUUGGACUCGUUCAUGGUGGUUGUAACUUAUCUUCUCAUUGCGUGUAAUAUAUGCAUUACUGAUGUUGACUUUUUUACAUGGUC